rnacentral:SRP_RNA from 1 species
GCCGGGUAUGUGGCUGGCGCGUGCCUGUAAUCCAAGUUACUUGGAGGCUGAGACUGGUGGAUCGUUUGAGCUCAGGGAUCAACUGAGCUACAGUGGAACUAUGUCGAAUCGGGUGUGUGUCCCAAUAAGUUCGGUAUCGAUAUUGGUGCUCCUGGGCGAGCCGGACCACCAGGUCGUCUAAGGAGCGUGUGCACCGGCCAGGUCGGAAACGGAGCAGGCCAAAGCCCCCGUGUGCUCAGUAGUGGGGAUCGCCGCAGCUGGUGAAUAUAGGCUGUUAUCGCUAUCCUGAGCUAAUUACAGCGUGACCCAGUCUUUU